UACGGAGGGUGCAAGCGUUAAUCGGAAUUACUGGGCGUAAAGGGCGCGUAGGCGGCCUUCUAAGUCGAACGUGAAAUCCCUGGGCUUAACCCAGGAACUGCGUCCGAUACUGGAAGGCUUGAAUCCGGGAGAGGGAUGCGGAAUUCCAGGUGUAGCGGUGAAAUGCGUAGAGAUCCGGAAGAACACCGGUGGCGAAGGCGGCCUGCUGGGCAGUUGCUGACGCUGAGGCGCGACAGCGUGGGGAGCAAA
rnacentral:rRNA from 1 species